AGGCAGCAGAAGCCAGCUGUUACAAAUCGCGUCACUUCUCGCCAGCUGAUCGGAGACGCCGGCGGAGUGAGACACGCCGAGAAAAGGGAGGAGUAUUCAGGACCGGAGAAGAUGGAUCGGGUCAUCGAGUAACUCUUGGCUAACCUACAUCAGUUCUUCUCUGGCAAACUUUAUGUUCGUAUUCACAUGCUAAAGCUGCCAGCUGAAGAGCUGUUGUGGUCAGCUUUGUCCUGCUGCUGCCUUCCAGACUUUUCAAGCAUGUCAGGCUGGGGAGGCUGGAUUCAUCUUUCUAAAGUGCAUGUGUAAAAAAAAAAAAAUUAGUAAUGAGUAAUACAUACCAGCAGAAGCUAUUAUUAAAUUAAACACUCUGUAGGAAAAUAGUUUAAAAAACACUGUACACGCGAGAUCUUCUCCUGAUUUCCAUCAGCUGUAGCACUCAUUUAAAUACAGUGUCUUGUGUAAUCAUUCAACCCCCCACCCCCGAAAUGUUACUUCACACAAAAGGUUUAACAUUCGAAGGUAAAUCAUUUUUCAUUCUCACCCAAAGGUUAAUAAACAAACAAGUAACCAAACAAACAGAAAACCCAGCACCCCGUGUCAAUACCUCUCUGCCUCAGAUCUUUUGGGAUAUGUUUCUGGAUCCUGAUAUUUUUCUCCAUUCUUCAUUUCAAAAAGCUCUGCCAUGUUGGAUAGAGACCGUUUUUCAAGUCUUGCCACGUAUUCUGAAUCGGAUUGCAGUCUCCGCUUCGACUGGGCCAUUCAGACGUAUUGUAAGUAUGUCGAUCGUUUUAAACCGUUCUACAACGUGACUCUACCGCCACCGUGCUUCACUGUAGGGACGGCGUUCUUGCCGAGUUUCCACCAACUGUAGUGCUUUUGUGCGGCGACUCAGACUAGAGAAGCAUUUUACACACGUUUGCCGAGUCUUCGGCUCUCUAAAAGGGAUCCCAUAUGACCCGCUCGCUCUUCCGUAGCCCGGCUUUGUGGCGUGUCCGGGGUGUGGUAGGUCCUGUGAAAACUUUCUCCCCUAUGAGAGGUGGAUCGCUUGACCCUUGACCUUUUGCUCGCUUCUCUGACGAACGCUCUCCUUAUCCGGUCACCGAUUUUGGAUGGACUGCAGCCUGUGUUGAGUCAUGGUCUCUAACAAGCGUAAGCUAACAUUGUUAUUGCUAAGCCUUAACGGUGACACCAUGUGGUUAAAUCACAUGACGCAGUUUUACAGAGGCCGUGCGGGCAAGAUGCAAAGAGCAAAGCAAGUUCAAUUACGUAAGGUUUUGCUAACUUAAUCAGGGCUGUAAGACUUGUAAACUAAAAUAUUCUUGCUCAUAUGUAUAUUAUGAAAUUGUAUAUACGGUAUACUCAUAAAAUAAGUUGUAUUGGUAAAUUAGUUUUUUAUAUAUAUAUAUAUAUUUUUU